GGGGUUGUGGCUCAGCGGUAGAGCACUCACCUAGCAUGUGUGAGGCCCUGGGUUCUAUCCUCAGCACCA
rnacentral:tRNA from 1 species